rnacentral:rRNA from 1 species
UACGAGGGGGGCAAGCGUUGUUCGGCAUUAUUGGGCGUAAAGGGCGCGUAGGCGGUGCGGUAAGUCACCUGUGAAACCUCCGGGCUUACCUCGGAGCCUGCAGGCGAAACUGCCGUGCUGGAGUGUGGGAGGGGUGCGUGGAAUUCCCGGUGUAGCGGUGAAAUGCGUAGAUAUCUGCAGGAACACCCGUGGCGAAGGCGGCUGGUUGGACCGCAACUGACGCUGAGGAACGAAAGCUAGGGGAGCAAACAGG